rnacentral:rRNA from 1 species
UACAGAGGGUGCGAGCGUUAAUCGGAAUUACUGGGCGUAAAGCGUGCGUAGACGAUUAUUUAAGUCGGGUGUGAAAGCCCCGGGCUCAACCUGGGAAUUGCAUUCGAGACUGAAUAGCUAGGGUACGGUAGAGGGAAGUGGAAUUUCCGGUGUAGCGGUGAAAUGCGUAGAUAUCGGAAGGAACAUCAGUGGCGAAAGCGACUUCCUGGACCAGUACCGACGUUCAGGCACGAAAGCGUGGGGAGCAAACAGG